AAACCGAUGACUUCGAGAUUAUUGGGCAAUAAAUAUAGCAUAUUGCUUUAUGCACAGACUUGCUGUUCUUCUCAUGCUGUUGGACAAUAAAUCAAUACGUAUAUAUAUUUACCAAUGAAUAGUCAAAUGUUAGGAAACCGACCUCAAGGUCCAAUUGCUCCACGUAACAUUGAGACACAAGAUUUGAAUGAAAUGAUUGAGGAGUGUGUGAUGAAGGCUACAGAUGAUCCAGCUCCAAAACAUGUUAAGAUGGGGAGGAACAAGAAAAA